rnacentral:lncRNA from 1 species
UAAUCCUCCAACUUGUCUGUUUAGUGUCUUUGGAGAGGGGAAAGGAGCAGAAAAGUAGCUUGUCUUUUAUUUUUAUUUGCCUUCUUUUUUUUCCUUCCUCCAGAUAUCCCCCUGGGGCACCGGCCUAGAACAGAGCAACAAAUAUUUACUAAUUCCAUUAACAGAAGAGAGUUGGAAUUUUUUUUUCCCAAGCGAAUAUCCGAGGCCCCAAGUUCAUGCCACCCAAAGUUACACUUUGGUUCACCAAGACGAAGACUCAUCCUUCCUCUCUCUAUGGAUCUUUCAGAUGAAGAAAUUAAGGCUCAGGAGGGAGGAAAAAAAUAAAAGAAAGAAUUGUCCAAGGUCACCAAGGCAUCUGGACUCCCAUAUGUUGAGCUACUUCUGCUUGUGGGGCAGCUGCAAUACAUGAAUUCUUCACUACGUGCAACCAUGGAUACCAGGACCAUAAAGUGCCUUUGUCUUGGGGUCACUUCGAGAAAACAUUGUAGAUCCAGGGGCUCUGAGCUGAAGAGGAAAAACCAUCAUAGUGUUCUGACUCAUUCUUGGAGCCCAGUCUCCAUACUGUGAGGAAGCCCAAAAGGCACACACUAACAGAACACGUGGAAAAGCUUCAGCCUCGUGUAGAUGUUCUGGUCAACAUCCCAGUUGAUGUCACAGCCAACAGCCUGCAUCAAGUGCCUGACACGUGAGUGAUGACACCUCCAGAUGAUUCCAGCCCCUAGCCAUUGGAUCACCCCCAGCUGUCAAAUCUUCCAGCUGAGGCCCCAGACAUUGUGGGGCAGAGACAAGCUGUUCCCAUUGUGCCCCAUCCAAAUUCCUGACCCACAGAAUGAAUGAGCA